GCCAAUGGUGGCUGCGUGCUGGAGAUCUUCGGAUCUGCCGGUUUUCGUCUGUCCGGUCUUGCAGACCUGCACGUAGCCGCCACCC
rnacentral:antisense_RNA from 17 species